rnacentral:rRNA from 1 species
GACGAACGCUGGCGGCGUGCUUAACACAUGCAAGUCGAACGGUAAGGCCCUUCGGGUACACGAGUGGCGAACGGGUGAGUAACACGUGGGUGAUCUGCCCUGCACUUCGGGAUAAGCCUGGGAAACUGGGUCUAAUACCGGAUAGGACCAUGGACUUCACGGUUUGUGGUGGAAAGCUUUUGCGGUGUGGGAUGGGCCCGCGGCCUAUCAGCUUGUUGGUGGGGUAAUGGCCUACCAAGGCGACGACGGGUAGCCGGCCUGAGAGGGUGUCCGGCCACACUGGGACUGAGAUACGGCCCAGACUCCUACGGGAGGCAGCAGUGGGGAAUAUUGCACAAUGGGCGCAAGCCUGAUGCAGCGACGCCGCGUGAGGGAUGAC